rnacentral:rRNA from 1 species
CAGCCGCCACGGUAAUACAGAGGGUGCGAGCGUUAAUCGGAUUUACUGGGCGUAAAGCGUGCGUAGGCGGCUAAUUGAGUCGGAUGUGAAAUCCCCGAGCUUAACUUGGGAAUUGCAUUCGAUACUGGUUAGCUAGAGUGUGGGAGAGGAUGGUAGAAUUCCAGGUGUAGCGGUGAAAUGCGUAGAGAUCUGGAGGAAUACCGAUGGCGAAGGCAGCCAUCUGGCCUAACACUGACGCUGAGGUACGAAAGCAUGGGGAGCAAACAGGAUUAGAUACCCGGGUAGUCCCUGUCUCUUAUAC